rnacentral:rRNA from 1 species
AUUGAACGCUGGCGGCAGGCUUAACACAUGCAAGUCGAGCGGAGAUGAGGUGCUUGCACCUUAUCUUAGCGGCGGACGGGUGAGUAAUGCUUAGGAAUCUGCCUAUUAGUGGGGGACAACAUUCCGAAAGGAAUGCUAAUACCGCAUACGUCCUACGGGAGAAAGCAGGGGAUCUUCGGACCUUGCGCUAAUAGAUGAGCCUAAGUCGGAUUAGCUAGUUGGUGGGGUAAAGGCCUACCAAGGCGACGAUCUGUAGCGGGUCUGAGAGGAUGAUCGGCCACACUGGGACUGGAACACGGCCCAGACUCCUACGGGUGGCAGCAGUGGGGAAUAUUGGACAAUGGGGGGAACCCUGAUCCAGCCAUGCCGCGUGUGUGAAGAAGGCCUUAUGGUUGUAAAGCACUUUAAGCGAGGAGGAGGCUACUGAGACUAAUACUCUUGGAUAGUGGACGUUACUCGCAGAAUAAGCACCGGCUAACUCUGUGCCAGCCGCCGCAGUAA